UGCCGGGUCGUCUAAUGGUAGGACGCUUGACUCUGGAUCAAGAAAUCGGGGUUCGAAUCCCUGCCCGGCAGCAA
rnacentral:tRNA from 1 species